UGGUGUUGGUGUUGGUGGAGGUAGUGGUGGUGGUGGUGGUGGUGUGUGGUGAUGGUGGUGGUGGGUCAGCCAGUUACGAAUUAGCGUGGACAGGUGUACAGCUUCCUGAUCACCUGGUGUGGAGAACGGUCACGGCGCUAUCCAGUACACAGUGCGCCCAGCGAGCAGGGAUGGCCGGCGUGGGGACCUUCCAGAGUCUGCUAGCCGCGGACAGGACGGAGGGCGGGGUGCUGUGCGUCCUGUCCCAGCCUGACGCCGCCCCGCCCUCCCUAUCCGCCCUCCCCGCCGCCCCGGACACCCAUGCUAUUUGGACACUGAAGAGUGAGGCAUCGCAAACCUCUACAACCACUGCUACUACUACUACUACUACUACCACAACUACUACAGCAACCCCACCAACAACAAUUACUACUACAAGUGCUACACCUCCCACCACCACCACCGACACUACCACAACU